ACUUGGCUGUACAUCUCAAAGUUAGUUUGAAAUGUUAAACUUCCAAUAGAAAUAGAACUCUUCAUACCUUAAGUUGGUAUGGAAGUUCUGAAGAAGGGCAGGGUGUUUAUCAUAGGGCAUUUAUAGUGUUAAUAGUAAGGGUCCUAUAUAUAGUCAGUGCUUUAACUAGAGAUACACCUUUUGAUAAGCUUAAGUGGGGUAUAUGUCUUGAUUGUACAUUGAGCUCUGCCAUCCUUGAUCGUUCAGAGUGAAAAUGCCUGUACUUAUAUCUUAUGGAUGGUAUAACUUAAUUAAGCAAACAUUAUGCUUUGCAGUUUGCGCUAAAAGAUGCAGAGCAAAGCUGGAAUUUGCUCAAUUUCAAAGCUUAAAUGAUAAUUUAUCUAAAGUGUCAAAUUACAGAUGUAUGGUCAUGAUUAGCUAAUUUGUGCCUGUUAUCAUGCAUUGUUUUACCUACCUAGGUCAUAAACUUUGGUCUGCCUCUCAAGAUUUGAAACGUAUUUAGGAGAACUUGUUAAUUGAGAAGUUGUAAAUAGCUAGCAAUUAUUUACGUCUUUUGGGAUAGAACAGAUUUGGAGCUUGUACAACAUUAUUAUAAUGAGAAGAAUGUAAAUGUGCAUAGAUCAGGUGCUAAUAGAAGUGUUUCUGCGUUCUCACAUGUGUCAUCAUUAACUAUCACAGCUCAAUCUGUUUUAUUUGAAAUAAAUUAUACUGGUAGAAAUUGAAUUUACUGUGGUGCUGUGCUAUUAUUGGUAUAAGCAACUGUUUCUCUUAAGAUGAUUGUCUGUAAUGCUUAUGGUUUACAAUAUCUUGAACUUUGCAGGGCCCAAACCCACUUUCAUGUAAGAAGAAGAAGAGCUGUGAAAAACCAAAUGUUGUUUUGGAGAAGGUAAAGAAAGAUGGAGAAAAUUCUGUGAGAAGCAGAAGCAGGAAAAGGAAGAGAUCACGCGGAGGCAAAAAGCUGGCAGAGAAAGAUGGUUAAUGUUGCUACUUGCUACACUCAAUGCCGGAUCUUAAGUUAGGGCAAAGUGGGGGUAUGGAAAAUUGCUUUAUUCUUCUUGCUUGGAACAAGGGUGUCCACUACAGACAUUGACAUCUGAUUCAUGAGAGAUUAUGAUGAGAAAGAGCGGACUAGAAAAUACAUAAUAGAUUUGGGAUUUAUGGGACCGACUUGUUUUUGUGUUGUUGUUGCUGUUUGGGACCGUGGGUGUACAUCCUUUUAAUUACAUUACAAUCUGAAAACUAACUA